rnacentral:rRNA from 1 species
UACGUAGGCAGCGAGCGUUGUUCGGAGUUACUGGGCGUAAAGGGUGUGUAGGCGGUUGUUUAAGUUUGGUGGGAAAUCUCCCGGCUCAACUGGGAGGGUGCGCCGAAUACUGAAUGACUAGAGUGUGGGAGAGGUGAGUGGAAUUCCUGGUGUAGCGGUGAAAUGCGUAGAUAUCAGGAGGAACACCGGUGGUGUAGACGGCUCACUGGACCAUAACUGACGCUGAGACACGAAAGCGUGGGUAGCAAACAGG